ACAUACGACCAUUGGUAAAGGAGUACUCUGGAUCCCGUUCGCUCUCCACACGAUAAGCCUUUGGCCGGCGGGUUAGUAGUCAAUUGGGUGACCCUUGGCGAAUCCCCGCUGUUGUAUGUU
rnacentral:rRNA from 1 species